rnacentral:lncRNA from 1 species
CCCUACCCCCGCCACAAUCCGGCUUCAUUUCCAAUUUCCCAAUACCUCCUUGUUAACGAGGUACACGAGGUUGACGACACCAUCCAGACCCUGCAGCAGCGCCUGAGGGAUGCAGAGGACACCCUGCAGUCGCUGGUCCACAUCAAAGCCACACUCGAGUAUGACCUGGCUGUCAAAGCCAAUUCCCUGUACAUCGACCAGGAAAAAUGCAUGAGCAUGCGCAAGAGCUACCCCAACACCCUCCGGCUGGUCGGCUUCUGCUAGGGACCCCACCGGGUGUGGUUUUGAUACCCCUAAGUUAAGGCUGAGCCAGAGCACUGUCUCAGCAUUUGAACCGAAUGCUAA